AGGGCGUAUGGGGAAUGCCUAGGCACACUCCGGCGAAGAAGGACGCAGCAAACAGCGAAAUGCGACGGUGAGCGGUAAGCACGUGAAGAGCCGUCGAUAUCCGAAUGGGGGAACCCACACGGAGUCAUAUCCGUGUAUCACAUGUCGAAUACAUAGACAUGAUGAGGCGAGACGCAGGGAACUGAAACAUCUAAGUACCUGCAGGAAGAGAAAAUAAGAAUGAUUUUCUGAGUAGCGGCGAGCGAAAGGGAAAGAGCCCAAACCGAUCUUAGGAUCGGGGUAGUAGGAUCAUCGAGGAAUCUGACAGAGGAUCAUAGAGGAAUCACAUGGGAAGGUGAGCGAGAGAGGGUGAGAGCCCCGUACUCGAAAUGAGAGACUGGAGAGAGAUGACACCUGAGUAGGGCGGGACACGAGAAAUCCUGUCUGAAUCAGCCGGGACCAUCCGGCAAGGCUAAAUACGAGAGAGUGACCGAUAGUGAACCAGUACCGUGAGGGAAAGGUGAAAAGAACCCCGGGAGGGGAGUGAAAGAGAACCUGAAACCAUAUGCCUACAAGAAGUCAGAGCCCGUUAAAGGGUGAUGGCGUGCCUUUUGUAGAAUGAACCGGCGAGUUACUGUAUGGAGCGAGGUUAAGCAGGAUAUGCGGAGCCGAAGCGAAAGCGAGUCUUAAGAGGGCGAAAGUUGCAUGCAGUAGACCCGAAACCGGGUGAUCUAGCCAUGACCAGGUUGAAGUUGGGGUAAAACCCGAUGGAGGACCGAACCGACCCCCGUUGAAACGUUGGCGGAUGAGUUGUGGCUAGGGGUGAAAUUCCAAUCGAACCCGGAGAUAGCUGGUUCUCCCCGAAAUAGCUUUAGGGCUAGCGUCGAGGUAAGUUGCGUGAAGGUAGAGCACUGAAUAUGUGAUGGCCCCAUCUCGGGGUACUGAGCAUAAUCAAACUGCGAAUGUCACGCCAACAUGCUCGGCAGUCAGACAGCGGGUGAUAAGGUCCGUUGUCAAGAGGGAAACAGCCCAGACCAUCAGCUAAGGUCCCAAAAUGUAUGCUAAGUGGAAAAGGAUGUGGAGAUGUACAGACAACUAGGAGGUUGGCUCAGAAGCAGCCAUCCUUUAAAGAGUGCGUAACAGCUCACUAGUCGAAUGACUCUGCGCCGAUAAUUUACCGGGGCUAAGCAUACUACCGAAGCUAUGGAUCCCAAGGGAUGGUAGGGGAGCGUUCCAUGAACGGAGAAGCGCGAUCGAGAGGACGCGUGGAGAUCAUGGAAGAGAGAAUGCCGGUGUGAGUAGCGGAACGUGGGUGAGAAUCCCACGCACCGAAAACCCAAGGUUUCCAGAGGAAGGUUCGUCCGCUCUGGGUAAGUCGGGACCUAAGGCGAGGCCGAGAGGCGUAGUCGAUGGACAACAGGUAGAGAUUCCUGUACUCAUAUAUAUGUGAAGGAAUGACGGAGAGAGGAAGCUGCAGCCAGCGGCUGGAAGAGCUGGUGCAAGCGAGAUAUCGGGAUGGCAGGCAAAUCCACCAUCCGAAACGAGAAGGCGUGAAGCGUACGGAAAGCUAAGGCGAGUACGGAAGGCAGUGGAGGAGCUUCCAAGAAAAGUUUCUAACGAAAGUAUAUGUGACCCGUACCGAAAAUGGACACACAUGGGUGAGGAGAGAAUCCUAAGGUGAGCGAGAGAACUAUAGCUAAGGAACUCUGCAAAAUGACUCCGUAACUUAGGGAGAAGGAGUGCUCAUAGAGAUAUGAGCCGCAGUGAAACGGCCCAAGCGACUGUUUACCAAAAACACAGCUCUCUGCUAAGCCGCAAGGCGAAGUAUAGGGGGUGACGCCUGCCCGGUGCUGGAAGGUUAAGGGGAGGGGUUAACGCAAGUGAAGCCCUGAACUGAAGCCCCAGUAAACGGCGGCCGUAACUAUAACGGUCCUAAGGUAGCGAAAUUCCUUGUCAGGUAAGUUCUGACCCGCACGAAAGGCGUAACGAUUUGGGCGCUGUCUCAGCUGUAGACUCGGUGAAGUCUUAGUACCUGUGAAGAUGCAGGUUACCCGCGACUAGACGGAAAGACCCCAUGGAGCUUCACUGCAGGUUGAUAUUGGGAUUUGAUGCAGCAUGUACAGGAUAGGUAGGAGGCAAAGAGAUGGAUACGCCAGUAUUCAAGGAGCCGCUGUUGGGAUACUACCCCUGUUGUAUUGGAUUUCUAACCGGACGACGUAAAGCCGUUGACGGGACAGUGUCAGUCGGGCAGUUUGACUGGGGCGGUCGCCUCCCAAAGAGUAACGGAGGCGCCCAAAGAUACCCUCAGCUUGGAUGGAAACCAAGCGCAGAGUGCAAAGGCAAAAGGGUGUUUGACUGCGAGACCCACAAGUCGAGCAGGGACGAAAGUCGGGCUUAGUGAUCCGGCGGUGCUGAAUGGAAAGGCCGUCGCUCAACGGAUAAAAGCUACCCUGGGGAUAACAGGCUGAUCUCCCCCAA
rnacentral:rRNA from 1 species